AACGAACGCUGGCGGCAUGCCUAACACAUGCAAGUCGAACGAUUGCCUUCGGGUGAUAGUGGCGCACGGGUGCGUAACGCGUGGGAAUCUGCCCUUAGGUUCGGAAUAACAGCUGGAAACGGCUGCUAAUACCGGAUGAUAUCGCGAGAUCAAAGAUUUAUCGCCUGAGGAUGAGCCCGCGUUGGAUUAGGUAGUUGGUGGGGUAAAGGCCUACCAAGCCGACGAUCCAUAGCUGGUCUGAGAGGAUGAUCAGCCACACUGGGACUGAGACACGGCCCAGACUCCUACGGGAGGCAGCAGUGGGGAAUAUUGGACAAUGGGCGCAAGACUGAUCCAGCAAUGCCGCGUGAGUGAUGAAGGCCCUAGGGUUGUAAAGCUCUUUUACCCGGGAAGAUAAUGACUGUACCGGGAGAAUAAGCCCCGGCUAACUCCGUG
rnacentral:rRNA from 1 species